GGGAAAUCAUUUUCCGCCGCUUGCAAGAAGAAUCAAAGGUAGCUCUCGCUCUCUCCUCUGCGAAUUAUUUUGUACUCUCGAUUCUUUAUCGAUUUUUCCGGCAAUGGGUAAGGUUGUUCUUGUCUCUCCGUCCUCUUCUUCCUCCGAGAGCGAAGCGUCAUU
rnacentral:sRNA from 1 species